GAAAAAUUAGCGGAUGACUUGUGGCUAGGGGUGAAAGGCCAAUCAAACCUGGAGAUAGCUGGUUCUCCCCGAAAGCUAUUUAGGUAGCGCCUCGGACGAAUACUACUGGGGGUAGAGCACUGUUAAGGCUAGGGGGUCAUCCCGACUUACCAACCCUUUGCAAACUCCGAAUACCAGUAAGUACUAUCCGGGAGACACACGGCGGGUGCUAACGUCCGUCGUGGAGAGGGAAACAACCCAGACCGCCAGCUAAGGUCCCAAAUUACUACUAAGUGGGAAACGAUGUGGGAAGGCUCAGACAGCCAGGAUGUUGGCUUAGAAGCAGCCAUCAUUAAAGAAAGCGUAAUAGCUCACUGGUCGAGUCGGCCUGCGCGGAAGAUGUAACGGGGCUAAGUAGUAAACCGAAGCUGCGGCAAUGUGCUUUUGCACAUUGGGUAGGGGAGCGUUCUGUAAGCGGU
rnacentral:rRNA from 1 species